rnacentral:rRNA from 1 species
AUUGAACGCUGGCGGCAUGCUUUACACAUGCAAGUCGAACGGUAACAGGCCGCAAGGUGCUGACGAGUGGCGAACGGGUGAGUAAUGCAUCGGAACGUGCCCAGUCGUGGGGGAUAACGCAGCGAAAGCUGCGCUAAUACCGCAUACGAUCUACGGAUGAAAGCGGGGGACCGUAAGGCCUCGCGCGAUUGGAGCGGUCGAUGUCAGAUUAGGUAGUUGGUGGGGUAAAGGCUCACCAAGCCAACGAUCUGUAGCUGGUCUGAGAGGACGACCAGCCACACUGGGACUGAGACACGGCCCAGACUCCUACGGGAGGCAGCAGUGGGGAAUUUUGGACAAUGGGCGCAAGCCUGAUCCAGCAAUGCCGCAUGCAGGAAGAAGGCCUUCGGGUUGUAAACUGCUUUUGUACGGAACGAAACGGUCCUGGUUAAUACCCGGGGCUAAUGACGGUACCGUAAGAAUAAGCACCGGCUAACUACGUGCCAGCCGCCGCGGUAACAC